rnacentral:rRNA from 1 species
AUGAGGACGAGGAGCGGCUCUCUCUAUACCUGCGACCAAGCGGCUCCCGUCGCCGGGCAGAAGAGGAAGAGGUCGCCUGCCGCCGCCGGCGAGGGAUGCGGCCUGCUUCGGAAGCGGCAGGCUGCGGGGCCGGACUUUUUGGAUGCCAUCCCUGAUGACCUCGUGCUGUCUAUCUUCUCCAGGCUCGCCGCAUCUGCAAACUCCCCGUCCGACCUGCUGUCUGUCCACCUAACGUGCAAGAGACUGAACGGCCUGGGACAACAGGACAUGGUGUUCGCCAAGGCCUCGCCGGCGUCGCUGGCCGUCAAGGCGGCGGCGUGGUCGGAGCCCGUGCAGCGGUUUUUAAAGGGCUGCGCUGACGCCGGCAACCUUGAGGCUUGCUAUAUUCUCGGCAUGAUCCGGUUCUAUUGCCUUGGCAGCCAGAGCGGCGGCGCGGCUCUUCUCGCGAAGGCGGCGGUCGGUGGGCACCCGGCGGCGCUCUACUCGCUGGCGGUCAUCCAGUUCAACGGGAGCGGUGGCGCCAGGUCGGACCGCGACCUGCGCGCCGGGGCGGCACUCUGCGCGCGCUCCGCCGCGCUGGGCCACGUCGACGCGCUCCGCGAGCUCGGGCACUGCCUCCAGGACGGCUACGGCGUGCGCCGCGACCCGGCCGAGGGCCGCCGCCUCCUCGUCGCCGCCAACGCCCGCGAGCUCUCCCUCGCGCUCGCCGCCACGGCGGCCAGUGCGGCCUACCCCUUCGCCUCCCUGCCCAUCGGCGCCGUCGCGGGCGGCGCCGGCGUUGGCGUCUGCAGCUCCCCUCUUCUCUCGGACUUCGGGUGGAGCCUGCCGGAGGCAGAGCCGCACACGGCGAACCAGUUCAUGUCGGACUGGUGGGCGUUGAGCUGCGUGCAGGCGUGCGCCAAGAAGCCCGAGGCGGCGACCACCGGCGAGAGCGAGGGCGAGCUACGGCUGUGCUCCCACAUGCGGUGCGGGCGCAAGGAGACGCGGCGGCACGAGUUCCGGCGCUGCUCCGUGUGCGGCGCGGCCAACUACUGCUCCCGCGCGUGCCAGGCCCUGGACUGGAAGCGCGCCCACAAGGCCCAGUGCGUGCCCAGUGCGUGCCAGCCCCUGAAUAGGAUUGCAACUUAA